rnacentral:rRNA from 1 species
AUGAACGCUGGCGGCGUGCCUAAUCCAUGCAAGUCGAGCGAACAGACGAGGAGCUUGCUCCUCUGACGUUAGCGGCGGACGGGUGAGUAACACGUGGAUAACCUACCUAUAAGACUGGGAUAACUUCGGGAAACCGGAGCUAAUACCGGAUAAUAUAUUGAACCGCAUGGUUCAAUAGUGAAAGACGGUUUUGCUGUCACUUAUAGAUGGAUCCGCGCCGCAUUAGCUAGUUGGUAAGGUAACGGCUUACCAAGGCAACGAUGCGUAGCCGACCUGAGAGGGUGAUCGGCCACACUGGAACUGAGACACGGUCCAGACUCCUACGGGAGGCAGCAGUAGGGAAUCUUCCGCAAUGGGCGAAAGCCUGACGGAGCAACGCCGCGUGAGUGAUGAAGGUCUUCGGAUCGUAAAACUCUGUUAUUAGGGAAGAACAAAUGUGUAAGUAACUAUGCACGUCUUGACGGUACCUAAUCAGAAAGCCACAGCUAACUACGUG